rnacentral:rRNA from 1 species
GCCUAAUACAUGCAAGUCGAACGAACUCUGGUAUUGAUUGGUGCUUGCAUCAUGAUUUACAUUUGAGUGAGUGGCGAACUGGUGAGUAACACGUGGGAAACCUGCCCAGAAGCGGGGGAUAACACCUGGAAACAGAUGCUAAUACCGCAUAACAACUUGGACCGCAUGGUCCGAGCUUGAAAGAUGGCUUCGGCUAUCACUUUUGGAUGGUCCCGCGGCGUAUUAGCUAGAUGGUGGGGUAACGGCUCACCAUGGCAAUGAUACGUAGCCGACCUGAGAGGGUAAUCGGCCACAUUGGGACUGAGACACGGCCCAAACUCCUACGGGAGGCAGCAGUAGGGAAUCUUCCACAAUGGACGAAAGUCUGAUGGAGCAACGCCGCGUGAGUGAAGAAGGGUUUCGGCUCGUAAAACUCUGUUGUUAAAGAAGAACAUAUCUGAGAGUAACUGUUCAGGUAUUGACGGUAUUUAACCAGAAAGCCACGGCUAACUACGUGCCAGCAGCCGCGGUAAUACGUAGGUGGCAAGCGUUGUCCGGAUUUAUUGGGCGUAAAGCGAGCGCAGGCGGUUUUUUAAGUCUGAUGUGAAAGCCUUCGGCUCAACCGAAGAAGUGCAUCGGAAACUGGGAAACUUGAGUGCAGAAGAGGACAGUGGAACUCCAUGUGUAGCGGUGAAAUGCGUAGAUAUAUGGAAGAACACCAGUGGCGAAGGCGGCUGUCUGGUCUGUAACUGACGCUGAGGCUCGAAAGUAUGGGUAGCAAACAGGAUUAGAUACCCUGGUAGUCCAUACCGUAAACGAUGAAUGCUAAGUGUUGGAGGGUUUCCGCCCUUCAGUGCUGCAGCUAACGCAUUAAGCAUUCCGCCUGGGGAGUACGGCCGCAAGGCUGAAACUCAAAGGAAUUGACGGGGGCCCGCACAAGCGGUGGAGCAUGUGGUUUAAUUCGAAGCUACGCGAAGAACCUUACCAGGUCUUGACAUACUAUGCAAAUCUAAGAGAUUAGACGUUCCCUUCGGGGACAUGGAUACAGGUGGUGCAUGGUUGUCGUCAGCUCGUGUCGUGAGAUGUUGGGUUAAGUCCCGCAACGAGCGCAACCCUUAUUAUCAGUUGCCAGCAUUAAGUUGGGCACUCUGGUGAGACUGCCGGUGACAAACCGGAGGAAGGUGGGGAUGACGUCAAAUCAUCAUGCCCCUUAUGACCUGGGCUACACACGUGCUACAAUGGAUGGUACAACGAGUUGCGAACUCGCGAGAGUAAGCUAAUCUCUUAAAGCCAUUCUCAGUUCGGAUUGUAGGCUGCAACUCGCCUACAUGAAGUCGGAAUCGCUAGUAAUCGCGGAUCAGCAUGCCGCGGUGAAUACGUUCCCGGGCCUUGUACACACCGCCCGUCACACCAUGAGAG